rnacentral:tRNA from 2 species
GCUGGAGUGGUGGAAUUGGUAGACACACCAUCUUGAGGAGGUGGCGCCCUAGGGUGUAGGAGUUCAAAUCUCCUCUUCAGCA